ensembl:lncRNA
UGAAAUUCCCCAUCAGGACCAGAGCCUGUGAGCACAACACCUCCCACAGUUGAAGCAAGAAGGCCUUGUCAACAGGUUCCCCUGCCCUUUAUUGGACCGAUCCCCAGUUUUAACCUCAUGAGAAGAGCGAGUUGGAGAAGUGUACUUCAGUCAGUCUGCAAACAACCUGAUGGGCUUCCUCCUGGUGAGGCUGAGGUUUGUAUGAGAACUGUUGAAUCACAGCCUGAACCACUGAUUGAUCACCUGAGGCAAGCACUGAGUCAGCUGUGGGAGCACAAGUGAAGGCAAUUCACCUGUGUGACUGGAAGGGGUGGAACCUGGCUGCACCUCUCCUAGACCCCAUUUAAGGGCUGAGUGCCCCUGAGGAAGGAUCUAUUUCUGCAGGUUGCUCCCUUUGGAAUUUUUACUGCGAGCCUAUGACACGGAGAAAAGUGGAAGACAGAAAGGAGCAUUCAGCAGAGUCUAUGAAGCAUACUGGAAAAAUAGCGUAAAGCUGUAUGGUGUCUGUGAGACUUCAAAAUAUUUGCCUCACAGUUAUUUACUCUGGAGUGCUGAAGAAUGGAGACUUUCAGCUUCUUCUCCCUGUGCUCCUCCAACAACACAAGAGUGAAAGCUUGACAUCUCACUUCCUACCUAAGCACUUAUCUUUUGUGUCC